rnacentral:rRNA from 1 species
AUGGCUUCUCCACUACCGGCAUUCGUUGUGCGGCGAGCGACGCCGGUGCUGGUGGUGCCCUCGGCACCGACGCCGCAGGAGGCGAAGCCGCUGUCGGACAUUGAUGACGCAGCGGUCAUGCGCUUCUACUCCGCGGGCGUCCAUCUGUACCGCGGUGACGUCUCCAAAGAGGGGCAGGACCCCGCCAGGGUCAUCAGGGAGGCGCUGGCAAAGGCCCUGGUCCCCUACUACCCGCUCGCCGGCCGUCUGCGCGAGGAGGCCGGGAGGAAGCUCGUCGUGGAGUGCUACGCGCAGGGCGUCCUGUUCGUCGAGGCUGACGCUGACCUUACGGCGGACGACUUCGGGGACAUUGGGUACCCCCCAUUCCCCUGCUACGAGCAGUUCGUGUUGGACGACACGGCCACCACCAACGACGGCGGCGCCGAGCCGGUCGUCGACCGCCCCCUCUUCUACGUUCAGGUGACGCGGCUCAAGUGUGGAGGCUUCAUAUUUGGGCAUCGUGUGUGCCACUGCAUGGUGGACGCGCCGGGCUGCGUGCAGUUCGUCAGGGCCAUCGCCGAGCUGGCACGCGGCGCCGACGCUCCCUCGGUGCCACCGGCGUGGGGCAGGGAGAUGCUCAUGGCGCGGCAGCCCCCGCAGCCGUCGUCCUACCCGCACCUCGAGUUCCAAGAACCCGCGGGCGGGCCGGAGCCGGACCGGAUGCUCACGACGCCCCCAGGCGACAAGGUGUGCGUCCACUUCUUCUUUGGGCCACGGGAGAUCGCAGCGCUGCGGCAGCGGGUGGCACCGCUCACCUGCUCUCGCUUCGAGCUCGUGGCCGCCUGCGUCUGGCAAAGCCGCACGGCCGCACUUGGCUAUGCAGCCGACGAGGAGGUGCGCCUGUCCCUCAUUGUCAACAUCCGUGGCCGCCCCGGCACCCCUCUGCCGGUAGGCUUCUACGGGAACGCGUUCGCCUACUACGCCGCAGCGACCACGGCCGGGGAACUCUGCCACGGAGGCCUCGGGUUCGCCAUGGAGCUGGUAAAGAAGGCCAAGUCAGCGGUGACGUACGAACACCUGCUGUCGUUGGCGGACCUCAUGGUGGCCACGGGGCGGCCGCUGUUCGCCGUGUCACGGACAUGCAUUCUGUCGGACGUGAGCCAUGCCGGGUUCAAGAGCGUCGACGUGGGUUGGGGGGAGGCUGUGUACGCCGGGCCGGUCAAGAUAGGCGAAGGCCCCAUCCUCGGCUUGAGCACAUAUUUCCUCCGCUCCACCAACGGCAAGGGGGAAGAGGCCACCGUGGUGCCUGUCUGCCUGCCCAAGGACGCCAUGGACAAGUUCCGGCUCGAGGUCGAAGGUCUCACCGGCGGCGCCCAGCUCUAG